UUCUCACGCGCGCCUCCAGGAGAGACGCCUCCUUCUUAAGUCCCCGGCCCCUCCCGCCAACGGUCACCGGGAUUCCUGGAAGAGACGGGGAUUUGGGGGAAACGGAGAGGGUUCUGCGAGGAGACGGGACCAGUGAGACAGGGGCUAUUCUGGGCCUGUCCGAGUUGGGAAUUCCCCAGAGACCUGGAACUUGCUCUCCACAGCCACAGCCUUGGCCCCGCCCUGUAUCUGUGCUGCCGCCAGUAAGGCUGCCCCUGGGGAGGGCGGAGCCAGAACCUCACAGCCUCACAGGGCAGAGCAAGGCUGGAUUGACGGACACCAGGCCGAGAAGAAACCCUUGGGGUUGGCGGCAGUUCUUAGUGAGGGCAAUUCAUUCAAUCCAGAGCCAGAAACAGGAUUUUAUUUAAAAUUUAUUGUAAUGGGGUCCGCGCAAAAGGAAGGGGUGGAGGGUGGGGUACAUGCAGGGGACACAGGAACACGAUGACAUGGCCAGGGCCACAACUUCUUCUGUCGUGGGGAAGAGGGAUGAAAAGACAAGACCAGGGCUGGAGCUGGGGUGGAAGAGGGGAGGGGGACACUGGCUGCAUUCCCCCGCCCCCAGGAAGCACCUCUAGGCCCUGGACCCCUCGCUCACCCUGGCCCCUAAGACUCCAUCUCUUCUCUGCCUCUGGCCCUCCUGGCUCUUCCUCCUGCUCCCCUUGACUUUUUCCCCUGACAGAUUCUCAAGUAGGACGAUGUUCAGGGCCUGACCCCAACCCCCCAUACCACCUUAUGAAGGUACAACCUUUGCCGGCCCUGCUUCUGCCCCUCCUCAAACCUCACCGCUUUCCCUCUUUGGGACAGCUCUGAUCCCCCUCCUUCCUCUCCUCCCUCCCCCUGGAAAAAAAAAAAAAAGGAAAAGAAAGCACCAACUCCCCGGGGAGGGGCUGCAGACAGCAGGGGGAGAGGACUGGAAGGAGAGAAGAGGACCGUCGAGGGAAGAGGCUCACAAGUCCCUGGGAAGACAGGGCAUGGGCUUACAGAGAGGAGAGGGGGUACGGGCAGUGGCUGCUCGUGUCCUCUGCCACCCCUGCCCACUGUCCAGGGGACUUCAACACAACCGAGGGGACAGGUUUGUGUGGGGUCAGGUCUGACAGAAGAGGAGCAGGAGAAACAAAUCGUUAAAACCUAGCGAAUUCCCCUAAGAAAACAUUUCUUCCUCCUUUCCUUCUGGAGGCUCCUUGGUUGGUAGGGAAAUAGGAGUUGGUGGGAAAAGAGGGGGGAGAGGAGCUUGUACCAAGGGACUCUACUCCAUUCUCCCCUCUCCCCCGCAACCAACUUGGAGCUCACCAGGGUUGGGAGGGAAGUGGCUGAGAGCUCACAGGCACCCCCUCCGCCCCCGAGAGGGAGCCCACAGCUGUGGGAGGGGCUGCUACUGCUGCCGCUGCUGCCGCUGCCGCCGCUGCCGCUGCCGCCGCCAUUGGACAAACCUCACCAGUACCUGCACAGGAGAAACACCACGGAUCACAGCGCGAUCUGAAUGGCAAGAGCCUUGCCCUCACCCCACACCUUCCCAGCCUGCUUCCCCUGGGACACAGCCGUUGCUCACUUCCUAUCUGGACCCCAGAGGCCUCAGCCUGCAUCCUCACCCAGACAGAGCAGUUCUCAAGGAUCCUCCCUGUGCCCAGAAGUCUCCCUAGCCUGAGUGGUACAUGGGCAUCCCUCGCCUUCCUGAGAUCCCCUAUUGGGCCCUUUGAGCCCCGUUGUCCCCCACACCCCCCAUCCCGCCCCCCAGCCAUGCCCCACGCCUUGCCUGGUGGGUGCGGGGGUCCCCCUCAGCAGGUGGGCUGUGGCUGGGGGGCGUCUCCCGGGACAGGGGGGGCGGCCCCCCCCAGAUGGGUCUGCAUGUGGCCGGCCAGCUGGGCAGGGGUCUUGCAGUGCACGCUGCACAGCUUGCACAGGAUGCGGUCAGCCCGCGGGGCCUGGAGCCCGUGGUCCUUCACCGCGUGGAUGCGCAGGUAUGCUGCCGUGGUGAAGCCUAUUGGGGGGUGGAUUGGGAUGGGGCGGGGGUCAGCCAGGCGGAGACCCCAGAGACGGGGCUGAUCUCCUAGGCGGGGGAUGCCCUCCUCAGAUGGCCCUGUCCUCCUCCCACGGUAUCCUUGGUAGCCUGGGGCCAACUGCUCUGUUGGGGCUGGUAGACACAGCCCCUCCCUGAGCCUGGGGCCUGGCUUGUGUGGUGCCCGCUUCUCAGCCUUGGUACCUACAGAACUCAUUCUCCAUGGCCGGGAGACCUCUCCCAGGAUGACGAGACACUGACUCCUAGCCACUUGCAGGGUUGACCCUCAGCAGAGACGGCUGUGUCCCCUUCCCUCCAGUGCCCCGCGGUCUCAACCCAGUUAACCGGUGAGUCUGACUGAAGGCAGCUUUCUCUGCUACCCGUGCAGGGUGCGUGCUGGUAAAGCCCGGCCCGUGUACUCCACCUGCCCCAGGAGCUGGAGACAAGACCUUGUGGCUGCGCAGCGGAAACCUUGCCUUGUGACCCCUGGAACUGGCUUUCUUGACUACUCCUUCCCCAGAGCAGCCAAGUUCCACUCCCGCUUUCCCCACACAUUACCAGGAGGUUCAACCUCUCUGGCAGAUCAUCUCUUCCAACCAGGACUUCUUAGAGUCUAAUGAUGUUCAUUCAGGUGUCCCCCCGCUGCUCCCUUGACCUCUUGUAGGAAUCUAGACGCCACGAGCUCUUGGCUACAGCACCCUUAACCCGUAUCCGUGGCAAGGCGUCUGGCCAGGCGCCCACCCUCUGCCCCUGGCCCUCCCGGCAGCCCUCGGCAUGUACCUUUGUUGCAGAGCUCACAGACAUGGUGAGGACCCUGGCUGUGCACCUUCAUGUGGUCCGAAAUAUAAGCCGAGCUCAGCAUCUUGCCACACACGUGACAUGGCACUUUCUCCUCGUGUCGUACUGUGUGCGCCCGCAGCCGAUCCUUCGUGGCGAAAGCUGCCUCACAUUUCUGAGGAGGGGGGAGGGGCGUGGGGGGUGUCACAGGAGAGUUAAAGCUUGGUGGGCUGGGGAGGGGGGAGCAAGAGAUUAAAGGAAUCAGAGCCUUGGGGAUCUUUGAUCUGUAGGAAAUGGGAGUGACAUGAUGAGGCCUUGAAGAAGGGAUGAGAAAAUGGAGCAAAAAGGCAAAAAGAAGAGAGAGAAAAAGGGGGUCUGAGAGACUGACUCAGACAGCUACCAUGAGGAUCAAAAUCAUGAAAACCAAGACAGGAGGAGGCGGGCUUCCU
rnacentral:lncRNA from 10 species